AACAGCAGGCUCAGGACAUCGAGUUGUUCUACCGCGGAAAGAAAAACGGGUGCUGGACUCAGACCCAAGGUUAACAGCCGACCGGGUCCCAUCCUCACGCUUCGGGGGCGUCACCUUCAUUCUCUGCGACGGGAUAAAGAUCAAUGAAAUGGAAGCGAUACACCUAAUAAGGUUCUCACCCCAGAAUGGUGAAAAUUGGUUCUGGCAUUCGAAGGGCGAGCUUUCUAGAACUGGAUCCGAGGAGGAAGCAGCACGUUUUCGAAUAAAACAGGAGAAAUGAGGCUUCGGUUCCUGCUUUACAUUCUCGGAUAACAGCACGGGCAAGGCGGUGGGUACGUGCGUGCCCUGCGUGGCAUUAGUGACCAUACAAUCGCUAAUGGAAGAAAUAGGACUCUUGUCUUUUACGGAUCCCCAAAGGCACCGGAAAUACCAACAUUCCGCCGCCAUUAUAAAUAAUUAUAGGAUGUACUGGUGAUGCUGAAAUUCCUUAUUUACAAGUCGUCCUAGCAGCCUGGGAGUGUCCGUUCCUGGUCAUGGCUAAUACUUUAAAAAUUAACUACAGAGACCUCUUCGGACCAGCCCUGUCUGUGAACUACACAUACAGUACGGUGUUUUGUUGUUUUAAUAAUUAUGGUUCUGGUCUCUGUGAUUGAUGUUUGGUCUUUAUUCUCUGGUAUCCAUUGUUUUUCAAUGAAUAGGGCAGAAGAGAAUUUCAGUUAGGAAGGUCUUUUACCUAAUGAGAGAUGAGAAAUGCAAUCGUGGAAGGGUUUGCCUAUUCCUUUCGCUGGUAAAUACUCCUUUGAAGUUGU